rnacentral:tRNA from 1 species
GCCCCCGUCGUUCAAUGGACAGAACACACCCCUCCUAAGGGUGAAAUGCAGGUUCGAUUCCCGCCGGGGGUACCA